rnacentral:rRNA from 1 species
GACGAACGCUGGCGGCGUGCUUAACACAUGCAAGUCGAACGGAAAGGCCCUGCUUGCAGGGUACUCGAGUGGCGAACGGGUGAGUAACACGUGGGUGAUCUGCCCUGCACUUCGGGAUAAGCUUGGGAAACUGGGUCUAAUACCGGAUAGGAGCCAUCUUUAGUGUGGUGGUUGGAAAGUUUUUUCGGUGUAGGAUGAGCUCGCGGCCUAUCAGCUUGUUGGUGGGGUAAUGGCCUACCAAGGCGGCGACGGGUAGCCGGCCUGAGAGGGUGUACGGCCACAUUGGGACUGAGAUACGGCCCAGACUCCUACGGGAGGCAGCAGUGGGGAAUAUUGCACAAUGGGCGCAAGCCUGAUGCAGCGACGCCGCGUGGGGGAGGAAGGCCUUCGGGUUGUAAACUCCUUUCGCUAGGGACGAAGCUUUUUGUGACGGUACCUAGAGAAGAAGCACCGGCUAACUACGUG